rnacentral:rRNA from 1 species
CUACGGGUGGCAGCAGUGAGGAAUUUUGCGCAAUGGGGGCAACCCUGACGCAGCAACGCCGCGUGAGUGAAGAAGGCCUUUGGGUCGUAAAGCUCUGUCAACUGGGAAGAAGUUACAAUUAUCCAAUAGGUAGUUGUAUUGACGGUACCAGUGGAGGAAGCGCCGGCUAACUCCGUGCCAGCAGCCGCGGUAACACGGGGGGCGCAAGCGUUAUUCGGAAUUAUUGGGCGUAAAGGGCGCGCAGGCGGUUUUGUCAGUCAGAUGUGAAAGCCCGGGGCUCAACCCCGGACGUGCAUUUGAAACAGCAAGACUUGAGUACGGGAGAGGAAAGCGGAAUUCCUGGUGUAGAGGUGAAAUUCGUAGAUAUCAGGAGGAACACCGAUGGCGAAGGCAGCUUUCUGGACCGAUACUGACGCUGAGGCGCGAAGGCGUGGGUAGCGAACGGGAUAGAUACCCCGGUAGUC